CAACAUCCAACGAUAUUACAAAUUUGUUAAUGUUGGACCAUACCAGUACACCAUCACGAAUACUAUGGUUUUUUUUUUUUUUUUUGUAAACCCACGUAUACUAUGGUUUAUAUUUCAAAGUUUAGUUGUGAUAAUUGGAUAAGUAUGAAAAAGAAACCUUCUAAUUAAGCAGGAGUAUUUGACACGAUGGAUUUUUAUACAGUAUGUACGCGUAUAUAAUCAUGUCGCCAAAUCCAAAGUAAUAACACAACAGAGAACCCAAUGAUUUUUUUUAACUAAUAGACAGAACUGAGAUAUGUCCUAAAGGAUAAAUACGACAAUGUUCACCUACAUCAUAAGAAGAAGCUUAUAUACACCUUUAGAGCACCUCUUUCAAUCCCAACAUUGCUCAAGAACCACGGAUUGUUAACAUAUACCCUUCUGUUGUGGCUUUCAAUGAAAGAGAAACUUCUGUUGUGAGUUUGCUUUCAUGGCUGCAGUAUUCCAACAGUUGACGUGCUUAAAUAAUAUGGACUGGACUUACUUGAU
rnacentral:lncRNA from 1 species